rnacentral:misc_RNA from 1 species
AAAUAAUAAUUAUCAUAAUCUUUUGAUUGUGGAAUUGGGCUUUUAUUUCAUUUAAUGAUUUAUGGCCUUAAAUUUAUGUUACGCUUGUUUUAAUGAAAUUCGACCGAAUGGAGCAAUUAAACAUUCUCUCGUUAGGCGAAUUCAUCAAGCAAUUACGAUUUUUUGGCCGUCGAAGCACUUUUUUUAGAAGUGCUUGGCCGAGAUCGUGAAUUUUUAACAAA